rnacentral:rRNA from 1 species
GAUAAACGCUGGCGGCGUGCAUAACACAUGCAAGUCGAACGAAGUGGCGAACGGGUGAGUAACACGUGAGUAACCUGCCUUACACAAGGGGAUAGCCUUUGGAAACGAAGAAUAAUACCCUAUAGGUUAAGAUGGACUUGCGUCUGAUUAGCUAGUUGGUGAGAUAAAGGCCCACCAAGGCAACGAUCAGUAGCCGGAUUGGGGGAGGGUACGGCACCAUUGGGACUGAGACACGGCCCGAACUUGACGGGAGGCAGCAGUGGGGAAUUUUGCACGAUGGGGGAAACCCUGAGGCAGCGACGCCGCGUGAUUUAGAAGGCCUUCAGGUUGUAAAAAUCUUUUUUAUGUGAUGCAGUACCAUAAGAAUAAGGUCCGGCUAAAUACGUGCCAGCAGCCGCGGUAAUUC